UUAGAGUUUGAUCCUGGCUCAGGAUGAACGCUAGCGGCAGGCUUAAUGCAUGCAGGUCGAGGGGCAGCAGGGGUGUAGCAAUACACUCGCUGGCGACCGGCAAACGGGUGCGGAACACGUACGCAACCUACCCAAAACUGGGGAAUAGCCCGGGGAAACCCGGAUUAAUACCUCGUAACAUAAUAAAGUGGCAUCACUAUAUUAUUAUAGCUCCGGCGGUUUUGGAUGGGCGUGCGGCUGAUUAGGUAGUUGGCGGGGUAACGGCCCACCAAGCCUGCGAUCAGUAACUGGUGUGAGAGCACGACCAGUCACACGGGCACUGAGACACGGGCCCGACUCCUACGGGAGGCAGCAGUAAGGAAUAUUGGUCAAUGGACGCAAGUCUGAACCAGCCAUGCCGCGUGAAGGAUGAAGGUCCUCUGGAUUGUAAACUUCUUUUAUAUGGGACGAAACCCUCAGAUUUUUCUGAGAUUGACGGUACCAUAGGAAUAAGCACCGGCUAACUCCGUGCCAGCAGCCGCGGUAAUACGGAGGGUGCAAGCGUUAUCCGGAUUCACUGGGUUUAAAGGGUGCGUAGGAGGGUAGGUAAGUCAGUGGUGAAAUCUCCAAGCUUAACUUGGAAACUGCCGUUGAUACUAUCUAUCUUGAAUGUUGUGGAGGUGAGCGGAAUAUGUCAUGUAGCGGUGAAAUGCUUAGAUAUGACAUAGAACACCAAUUGCGAAGGC
rnacentral:rRNA from 1 species